CUUGNGCGAGAGUAGUACUAGGAUGGGUGACCCCCUGGGAAGUCCUCGUGUUGCACCCCCUGCCCCCCUUCUUUUUGCAACUUUUCUGCCUUUUUGGGGGAACGUGGCUCAGUAAACGCGCACGCGCGACGUAAAACUCACAACGCGCGGNACYGACACGUGGGAAUAUAGGCACAAAAUCGGAUGAUCCUAACGGUUGGGAAUAUAGGAGUAAAAAGGGAGAACC
rnacentral:misc_RNA from 1 species